rnacentral:misc_RNA from 1 species
GACAUUGUCCGUUUUACGGGCUUUGUUCAGUAUUACUGCAUCAAAGUACAAAGAUUGUAGAUCG